rnacentral:rRNA from 1 species
UACGUAGGUGGCAAGCGUUGUCCGGAAUUAUUGGGCGUAAAGCGCGCGCAGGCGGUCCACUAAGUCUGAUGUGAAAGCCCCCGGCUCAACCGGGGAGGGUCAUUGGAAACUGGAGGACUUGAGUACAGGAGAGAAGAGUGGAAUUCCACGUGUAGCGGUGAAAUGCGUAGAGAUGUGGAGGAACACCAGUGGCGAAGGCGACUCUUUGGCCUGAAACUGACGCUGAGGCGCGAAAGCGUGGGGAGCGAACAGG